rnacentral:rRNA from 1 species
GAUGAACGCUGGCGGCGUGCCUAAUACAUGCAAGUCGAGCGAACAGACGAGGAGCUUGCUCCUCUGACGUUAGCGGCGGACGGGUGAGUAACACGUGGAUAACCUACCUAUAAGACUGGGAUAACUUCGGGAAACCGGAGCUAAUACCGGAUAAUAUAUUGAACCGCAUGGUUCAAUAGUGAAAGACGGUUUUGCUGUCACUUAUAGAUGGAUCCGCGCCGCAUUAGCUAGUUGGUAAGGUAACGGCUUACCAAGGCGACGAUGCGUAGCCGACCUGAGAGGGUGAUCGGCCGCACUGGAACUGAGACACGGUCCAGACUCCUACGGGAGGCAGCAGUAGGGAAUCUUCCGCAGUGGGCGAAAGCCUGACGGAGCAACGCCGCGUGAGUGAUGAAGGUCUUCGGAUCGUAAAACUCUGUUAUUAGGGAAGAACAAAUGUGUAAGUAACUAUGCACGUCUUGACGGUACCUAAUCAGAAAGCCACGGCUAACUACGUG